rnacentral:rRNA from 1 species
GACGAACGCUGGCGGCGUGCUUAACACAUGCAAGUCGAACGGAAAGGCCCUGCUUUUGUGGGGUGCUCGAGUGGCGAACGGGUGAGUAACACGUGAGUAACCUGCCCUUGACUUUGGGAUAACUUCAGGAAACUGGGGCUAAUACCGGAUAGGAGCUCCUGCUGCAUGGUGGGGGUUGGAAAGUUUCGGCGGUUGGGGAUGGACUCGCGGCUUAUCAGCUUGUUGGUGGGGUAGUGGCUUACCAAGGCUUUGACGGGUAGCCGGCCUGAGAGGGUGACCGGGCAGAUUGGGACUGGGAUACGGCCCAGGCGCCGACGGGAGGCAGCAGUGGGGAGUGUUGCACAAUGGGCGGAGGCCUGAUGCAGCAACGCCGGGUGCGGGAUGAGGGCCUUCGGGUUGUAAACCUCUUUCGCCUGUGACGAAGCGUGAGUGACGGUAAUGGGUAAAGAAGCACCGGCUAACUACGU